rnacentral:piRNA from 1 species
UCCUUUACUGGCUGGUAAUCUCUGGAG